rnacentral:rRNA from 1 species
CAGCCGCCACGGGAAUACGUAGGUGGCAAGCGUUGUCCGGAAUUAUUGGGCGUAAAGGGCUCGCAGGCGGUUUCUUAAGUCUGAUGUGAAAGCCCCCGGCUCAACCGGGGAGGGUCAUUGGAAACUGGGAAACUUGAGUGCAGAAGAGGAGAGUGGAAUUCCACGUGUAGCGGCGAAAUGCGUAGAGAUGUGGAGGAACACCAGUGGCGAAGGCGACUCUCUGGUCUGUAACUGACGCUGAGGAGCGAAAGCGUGGGGAGCGAACAGGAUUAGACACCCCGGUAGUCCCUGUCUCUUAUAC